rnacentral:rRNA from 1 species
GAUCCUGGCUCAGGACGAACGCUGGCGGCAUGCCUAACACAUGCAAGUCGAACGGAGAUUACUUCGGUAAUCUUAGUGGCGAACGGGUGAGUAACGCGUGGGCAACCUGCCCUCUAGAUGGGGACAACAUCCCGAAAGGGGUGCUAAUACCGAAUGUGACAGCAAUCUCGCAUGAGGAUGCUGUGAAAGAUGGCCUCUAUUUAUAAGCUAUCGCUAGAGGAUUGGGCCUGCG